ensembl:lncRNA
GACGUUACUCUGUAAACUGAUGAGGGUUGGGCAUUCAUUGUAGUUUUAACUAUUUAUUUGGUUCUUUAGAAGGCAGAAUUUAAAUGUCUAGAGUUUCUCUUCAUUCUUAUGACUUAACACUUCCUUGGGUUGUUGAAGGGUAAAAGUAGAUACAAAUGAUAAUUGAGUGUGUGGUACAGUGAUCUUCUGCUAUAUAUAGUUCUUAAGGUAUGAGGAGAAGAGUUAUACAAGUUCAUCACCUUGCACUUCAUAGAGAAGCUAUAUAGAGAUGGCAAAAUCUGCCUCCAUUUUCUAUCCAGAUAAUUAAGAUUUUCAUGUUAUCUAGGCCUGUCUUUAAUCUGAGUAAUUUCAUUUUUGCAAAUACACUGGCAUUUAAAGGAAUGAUCCAUCUAAAUUUUUUUCAACUGGAUUUUAGAAGAAGAUAUGAUCUUUCAGUGAUAUGGUUUUAUUGUUAUCAUAUGUGUUCAAUUUGCAUGUGAUCAAAUGACAUGCAGAUUUAUUUAUUUUGGGUUCCUAAAAAUUAAGGUAGCUUGAAUAUUGUUUUACAUUCCUUUUUCUUUUUUAAAUAACCAGGAUGGCUUUGGAGAAGGCUUCAUGAGAGUAUUAGCAUCUGCUGGAGCAGAAAAUAGUAUUUAAAAGUCACUGAACACGUUCUAAAGUUUUAUUAGUUGUGACAUUAAUAUGUAAUCUUUUGGCUUAAAUGUCCACUGUUUUUUUACUUUGACACCGUUAAACAGUACUGGGCUUAAGUUUCUGAUAUAUAUAUUGGCCAUGUAUAUUAACCAUAUUUUUAAAGUACUGUUUUUGUUUUUACAGAAAAGGUAAAAUGCGAAAGUAUGUUCCUUUUGAGGGAUUUUUAUAAAUUCUUAACUACAAUUUAUGGCGUUCUUUCAUAACUUUUUACAUUUCUUUACAAUUUGGUGGCCAUUAAUUUAACCUAGGGCUUUUUGGUGUAUGCUAAUUUAACUAGUCUGAGAUUUCAAGAAGAAAUAUAGACAUUUCAGCCCUCAUUAAUUGAGAAUAUUUUAAGAAGUUAAAAGAGAAUUUGUUUUCAAGUUGAGUGUAUUUUCUUUUAAAAGCCACCUGAUUGUUAAAUAGUUUCAAUUUUAUUGUUAAAAGCUGCAAAUUUUUGAGUAGACGGUUUCUAAAAGUACAAGUGAGAUACCAAUAAGGCUGUGUAUAAAAUGGUUUUACUUUCAGUUAUGCAGCACAAAAUACUGAUUAGUAUAAGAAACAAUCUGCAUCAUUAUUGGGUUUUGUUUUUUUGGUUUUUGCUUGAUUCUGGUGUCCUUUGAGUGACAUCUCGUAAAUGUUUGGGCUUGGGAGUCAGAACCAGUUAUCUGGCUUCUCUUGUUCAUUGCUUAGGUUUGUUCUUGUUGUCCAAACUGCCCCCCCAGCACCCCCUGACAUGUGCAUAUGCUCAUGCAUAUUAUGUUAAAAUGAGUACAUCCUUGUAUUUGUAUUUUUGUUUUCAACAUUGCCAAGGUGCUAUCGGAAAUUAAAAUAACACAAAAUUAGAAAAAAUAAAAUUAUUAAAAAGCAGGACUGGUUUCCUUUUCUCCAGGUGGCUUAUAUCUAACGACUGCUUGUAUUUACUUGCUGAUUACUUUUCAUGUUGCCCACUCUAGUUCUGUUCUGAUUUCAGCUGUUGGUUUCUUUGUGUGUGUGGAGGGGUGGGGCUUGAAGUGGAUUGUGUGAUACUUCAUCUGCAAAGUGAGAGAGUAAAAAGCUAGAAGAUUCAGCUCUGUGAUUCUGGGGUUUUAUUCUUUUAGUGUCAGAAGCAGUUAUUGAAGGGGAGAAAAAUCAUAAGGCAAUAUAUAUCUUUAGAGUUUUGCCUUCAUGGGUCAGAUAAUGACCUGACUUGAGUAUGUAGGCUCUGGACCUUUAAACUUCUGUUUUGAAGAGAAAGCCUUGGUUACCUUUACUUUUUCAACCACCUCUUUGCUUUGAGUACAAACAGUAUGAGUCUUAAUUUUUUUUUUAAUCUAUGAUAAUGGCAAAAAUGGAAAAACUGAAUAAUCUGUGACUUUUUCAAAUAGCUGAUAUCUAAAUUAAUGUGGUAGCUCAACUUUUAUUUAAUAUAGUAUUGCUAUAAAGCCCUUAAGUGUAUGCCACAGUUCUUGAAUUGUCUAGCUAUAAUAAACUUUUUAAUAGUAGAAAUCAAG